AUGGCUGGCUUGGAAGGUUUCGAGUUCUUCGAGAUCGUAAUUGAGAAAUCUUGUAGUAGGCAGAGGCUGCCUGACAAGUUUGCGAAGAUGCUCGCCGGCCGUGAGCCCCACAAAGUGAAGCUGCGGGAGGCCGGCAGCGGGCUUCACAGGCUGUGGGAAGUGUGGGUGGUGUUUGAUGGUGAAGGCCACAUGUACCUAGGGCCCGGCUGGGAGCAUUUCGCCCGCGCCCAUGAGCUACAGCUCGGGUACUUCCUUGUCUUCCGCUACGACGGCGACUCCAUGUUCACCGUGAAGAUGUUCAACAACACCAUGUGCCGCAUGUACUACCAGCACGACGACGAUGCCAGCAAUGGGAGCAGCAGCAGGGAUGACGAGGAGCAGAGCGGGGAUGACGACAAGGAGCAGAGCGGGGAUGAUGAGCAGAGCGGGGAUGACGAGGAGCAGAGCGGGGAUGAUGAGGAGCAUCCUAUUCUGGCUGAUGACGAACAUGCUAUGGUGGUGGCUGACGACGACCCUGCUAUGGUGGUGGCGGAUAACGACCUUACUAUGGUGGUGGCGGACGACGACCUUGCUAUGGUGGUGGCGGACGACGACCUCGUGAUGGUGGUGGCGGACGACGACCUUGCUAUGGUGCUGGCGGACGACGACCUCGCGAUGGUGACGGCGCCUGCAAUCCCACAGCUUGGCGACAGGACCAUGCCAAUUGUGGUAGAGGAGUACAUCCGCAUUGGGAUUCGCCACUCUGAGCGCAUCAGGUUGAUGAAGGAGAAGAAGGAUGAGUGA
rnacentral:rRNA from 1 species